rnacentral:rRNA from 1 species
AGGCCUAACACAUGCAAGUCGAACGAGAAGCCACCUUCGGGUGGUGGACAGUGGCAGACGGGUGAGUAACGCGUGGGAACGUGCCUUUCGGUUCGGGAUAACCCAGGGAAACUUGGGCUAAUACCGGAUACGCCCUUCGGGGGAAAGAUUCAUUUGCCGAAAGAUCGGCCCGCGUCGGAUUAGCUAGUUGGUGGGGUAAUGGCCUACCAAGGCGACGAUCCGUAGCCGGUCUGAGAGGAUGACCAGCCACACUGGGACUGAGACACGGCCCAG